rnacentral:tRNA from 1 species
GGAGAGAUGGCCGAGCGGCUUAAGGCGCACGCUUGGAAAGCGUGUGUACGUGAAAGCGUACCGUGGGUUCGAAUCCCACUCUCUCCGCCA